CAGAGUAACUCUUCUUCUAUUAAUUUCAACUUGAAAAAUACACUAGGUAGGCCUCCUAUUUAUAGGUGAAGGAGCCUUGGAGAACAAACUAAAAGGGUAAGAUGAGAAAAGGGAAAAUAUGGGCAGCCUUAGGGUUUGCCUAAGUCAAACCCGCAUCCUAGGCUUGUCCUUUUAGAAACUAUGUCAAAAUGCCUUCCAAAAGGGUUAGGAACAAGCUAAAAUGCUACCUACACCCUCUAUUAUGCUAAAGGUACCUUAUUCUAGCCUAUAUUUUCUAUUUGGACCCCCAAAGUGAGCCCAAAUUAUUUAUAACAUGUGCUAACUAUUAAAAGGACCAGCAAGAAAAACAUUAAAUGCUCUGGUCUUUGUCCAUUUCUCCCUCUGGUGAGGUCUUCGCUUGCAUGUUGAGAUGACUUCUCAUAGUGUGAAUGGUCAUUUGCAUCCUUGGUCAUCUUCUUGUUGGUUUGGCUUGCAUCAUAUCCACUCCUAGGUUGUUAUGUGGACAUCCAUGUGCUCCUUGCCAAUGUAAGUUUUGCCCCUUGUCAUACCCUAGAUAGUCUAAGGUUACAUUGACCCAAAGAAACUCAAUUGUAAUCCUAACUAGACAUUCCUAACCCUAGUUAUCCCAUUACAUUAUUGCCCAGAUACAAGGCCCAAAAAAAUAAAACAAGGCCCAAUUCAUAGCUCAGAGAAAAAGUCUUAAUUUAUUAUUUACAAUUUUGAAGGAUGGCUUAGGUUGACAGAAGUUUGACUCUGUUGGUUAGUUGAAUCCCACUCGUCUUAAAUCUUGCCCAUUGCUCUUAUAGUUGGUUGUUUCCUAAGGGACCUUCCAUCAUCCCCUCUUUCUUGAAAAUGAUUUCUCCUUAAAUUUAGGACUUCUGCAUCAUCCUCAAUUCCACCUGUAAAAGAAAUAAGAUCAAUGACAUUAAAAAUGGUAUGUAGUCCAUAUUUCCCUAGAAGAUCGAAAAUGUAAGCAUUAUCAUUGACUAUUUUAAGGACUUGAAAAUGACCAUCUCCUCGGGGAUUGAGUUUAGACUUCCUUUGUUUUGGAAACCUGUAUUUUCUCAAGUGAAGCCAAACCCAAUCCCCAUCCUUAAAAAUCAUCUCCUUUUUUUCCUUAUUGUUUUGUUUAAUGUAUCUCUUUGUUUGUUGCUCUAUUUGGUUUUGAACCCUCUCAAGUAAUUUCUUGAUAAAGUCAGCUUUAGAUACUCCUUCCUUAUGUUGAAACUCAUGUUGAUUGGGUAAGGGUACCAAAUCUAAAGGUAUAAGAGGAUUAAAAUCAUACACAACUUCAAAAGGAGAGAUCAUAGUAGUUUUGUAAACUACUCUAUUAUAAGCACACUCAAUAUGGGGAAGAUACUCAUCCCAAGAUUUAUGAUUAUCCUUCAAAACUGUAUGGAGCAUAGUUGAUGUGAGUUGAUUUUAGAUUGAUUCAUUUAGAUGACACUUUUAGAAUUAGAAUUGAGAUUGAUUAAGCAAUUAAGGUGACAAGUCUAAGGAAAAUUCACACUAGACAUUAACUUAACAAGUGUUAAGUAGAUGUGAAGGUUCAUUUCCAUAAGGCCAAAGGAAAAACACAAUUAAAGGAGAAGAAUGAAAGACAAUUAGGUGGGGAAUUUAAGCAAACACAAGGUGAGCAAUUAUAAAAGACCGAAUUGAAUUCAAGAACAAGAACAAGAACAAGACAUAUUUUAGAAUUGAAAAUAGGAAUGGAAAUGGAAUGGAAAAAGAUGAGUGAAAGGAACCUUAGGAGAUGUGGAAUUGUGAAGGAGCACGCCACUUGGAUGGUGAAUUGAAUACAAGAUAAGUGUAGAUGCCGCCACUUGAGAGCUCACAACACUCACAAGAUAAGACCAAGGUUUAGAGAGACAAUGCUCACAAACUCUACU
rnacentral:lncRNA from 1 species